ensembl:snRNA U6 U6 spliceosomal RNA
UCGCUACCGCAGCGCAUAUACUAAAAUUGGAUCGAUACAGAGAAGAUUAGCAUGGCCCCUGUGAAAGGAUGAGACACAAAUCCGUGAAUAUUUUCCGUCCAUAUUUUC